CCUACGGGUGGCAGCAGUGAGGAAUAUUGGGCAAUGGAGGCAACUCUGACCCAGCCAUGCCGCGUGAGUGAAGAAGGUUUUCGGAUUGUAAACCUCUUUUGUCAGGGAGCAAAGGGCGCCACGUGUGGCGCUUUGCGAGUACCUGAAGAAAAAGCAUCGGCUAACUCCGUGCCAGCAGCCGCGGUAAUACGGAGGAUGCGAGCGUUAUCCGGAUUUAUUGGGUUUAAAGGGUGCGCAGGCGGGAUGUCAAGUCAGCGGUAAAAUUUCGGGGCUCAACCCCGUCGUGCCGUUGAAACUGGCGUUCUUGAGUGAGCGAGAAGUAUGCGGAAUGCGUGGGGUAGCGGUGAAAUGCAUAGAUAUCACGCAGAACUCCGAUUGCGAAGGCAGCAUACCGGCGCUCAACUGACGCUCAUGCACGAAAGCGUGGGUAUCGAACAGGAUUAGAUACCCUAGUAGUC
rnacentral:rRNA from 1 species